rnacentral:rRNA from 1 species
GGAUGCGAUCAUACCAGCACUAAAGCACCGGAUCCCAUCAGAACUCCGAAGUUGAGCGUGCUUGGGCGAGAGUAGUACUAGGAUGGGUGACCUCCUGGGAAGUCCUCGUGUUGCAUACC